rnacentral:rRNA from 1 species
GCAUAUCAAUAAGCGGAGGAAAAGAAACCAACAGGGAUUGCCUCAGUAACGGCGAGUGAAGCGGCAACAGCUCAAAUUUGAAAUCUGGCAGCCUCCGGGCGGUCCGAGUUGUAAUUUGAAGAGGAUGCUUUUGGCGAGGCGCCUUCCGAGUGCCCUGGAACGGGACGCCACAGAGGGUGAGAGCCCCGUAUGGUUGGACGCCGAGCCUCUGUAAAGCUCCUUCGACGAGUCGAGUAGUUUGGGAAUGCUGCUCAAAAUGGGAGGUAAACCCCUUCUAAAGCUAAAUACUGGCCAGAGACCGAUAGCGCACAAGUAGAGUGAUCGAAAGAUGAAAAGCACUUUGAAAAGAGAGUUAAAUAGCACGUGAAAUUGUUGAAAGGGAAGCGCUUGCGACCAGACUUGUGCCCGUCGAAUCAGCCGCCGCUCGUCGGCGGCGCACUUCGGCGGGCUCAGGCCAGCAUCAGUUCGCUGCAGGGGGAGAAAGGCGGUGGGAAUGUGGCUCUUCGGAGUGUUAUAGCCCGCCGCGCAAUACCCCUCGGCGGACUGAGGACCGCGCAUCUGCAAGGAUGCUGGCGUAAUGGUCGUCAGCGACCCGUCUUGAAACACGGACCAAGGAGUCGUCCUAAUAUGCGA